rnacentral:rRNA from 1 species
GAUGAACGCUGGCGGCGUGCUUAACACAUGCAAGUCGAACGGAAAGGCCCAAACUUUCUUGGGUACUCGAGUGGCGAACGGGGGGGUAACACGCGUGUGUACCGCCCUUCACUUCGGGAUAAGCCUUGGAAACUGGGGCUAAUACCGGAUAGAACAUUGGUUUGGAUGUCGUUGUGGAAAGUUUUUUCGGGGUGGGAUCAGGUCGCGGAGUAUCCGCUUGUUGGUGGGGUAUUGGCAUACCAAGGCGUUGACGGGGAGCCGGCCUGAGAGAGCGUACGGCCGCAUCGGACCUGGGAGAGGGCCCGGACUCGUACGGGAGGCAGAAGUGGGGAAUAUUGGACAAUGGGAGGCAGCGUGAUGCAGGGACGCCGCGUGGGGGAUGACGGCCGUUGGGUUGUAAACUCCUUUCGCUAGGGACGAAGCGAUUUUGUGACGGUACCUGGAGAAGAAGCACCGGCUAACUACGUG